CGAACGCUGGCGGCGUGCUUCAUACAUGCAAGUCGAGCGAGAAAGCUUCCUUCGGGAAGUGAGUACAGCGGCGCACGGGUGAGUAACACGUGGGUAAUCUGCCUUCGGGUUCGGGAUAACCUCGGGAAACUGGGGCUAAUACCGGAUGAGACCACGAGGUCCUCGGGCCUUGCGGAAAAAGAUGGCCUCUUCAUGAAAGCUAUCGCCUGGAGAUGAGCCCGCGGCCCAUUAGCUUGUUGGUGAGGUAACGGCUCACCAAGGCUCCGAUGGGUAGCUGGUCUGAGAGGAUGAUCAGCCACACUGGAACUGAGACACGGUCCAGACUCCUACGGGAGGCAGCAGUAGGGAAUCUUGGGCAAUGGGGGAAACCCUGACCCAGCAACGCCGCGUGAGGGAUGAAGGCCUUCGGGUCGUAAACCUCUGUCGGGAGGGAAGAACCGUCUCGAGUCGAAUAGGCUCGAGGCCUGACGGUACCUCCAAAGGAAGCGCCGGCUAACUCCGUG
rnacentral:rRNA from 1 species